rnacentral:rRNA from 1 species
AUACGUAGGGGGCGAGCGUUGUCCGGAUUUACUGGGUGUAAAGGGCGUGUAGGCGGAGAUGCAAGUCAGGAGUGAAAUCUAGGGGCUCAACCCCUAAACUGCUUUUGAAACUGUAUCCCUUGAGUAUCGGAGAGGCAGGCGGAAUUCCUAGUGUAGCGGUGAAAUGCGUAGAUAUGAGGAGGAACACCAGUUGUGAAGGCGGCCUGCUGGACGACAACUGACGCUGAGGCGCGAAAGCGUCGGGAGAAAACAGGAUUAGAUACCCUGGUAGUCCACUGUGUAAGCGAGGAAUACUAGGUGUGUGGGGACUGACCCCCUCCGUGCCGCAGUUAACACGAUAAGUAUUCCACCUGGGGAGUUCGAUCGCAAGAUUGAAACUCAAAUGAAUUGACGGGG